rnacentral:rRNA from 1 species
UACGUAGGGUGCGAGCGUUGUCCGGAAUUAUUGGGCGUAAAGAGCUCGUAGGCGGCUUGUCGCGUCGGAUGUGAAAGCCCGGGGCUUAACUCCGGGUCUGCAUUCGAUACGGGCAGGCUAGAGUUCGGUAGGGGAGAUCGGAAUUCCUGGUGUAGCGGUGAAAUGCGCAGAUAUCAGGAGGAGCACCGGUGGCGAAGGCGGAUCUCUGGGCCGAUACUGACGCUGAGGAGCGAAAGCGUGGGGAGCGAACAGG